UUGGCAUGCAGCUUUCCAUGGGGUCACAAGGAGUCGGACACAACUGAGGGACUGAACUGAACUGAAAGCAGUUUAGGUUGACUCAAGCAUCUGACGCAUGGCAGAUAGAGGAAAGGCUUGAAAAGGUAGUAGCCUGGGUCUGGCUCAGGAAAACCAUCACUGCUUCACUACAGAUCUUUAGCACCAAGUUAGCAGCAGCUCAAGCAGGAGGGUGACCUGAUUACCCUGGGCCUUGGGAAGAAGACCAGAGUAGAGCUUUGUUCCUGGCCUCACUUGCAGGAUUUCCUGGCAUCCUGCUUUGGGUGCUGUGAAUGGAUCAGUAGAACCACGUAACAUCUGACUGGCUGAUGAGUUAAGUCAGUUGCUACUCACUUGUUCUGCAGGCUUUGCCAGAAUCAGCUGGGGAACUUGUUAAUCGUGCAGGUUCUACAGCCCAACCCAUUCUAAGGAAUCACACCAGAGGGAGAAGCAGUCCCUGAACAGGGGCCUUUCAGAAGAUCUUAGGGUUCUCAUUAGAUGACGGGCUGAGCUGGAACAGUUCGGCCCAGAGCCAUCCCAUCAGCCUCACCUGGGAACUGGUUGAAAGGCAAAUUCAGCUUUUACCCCCAAAUCAAUGAAUCAGAAUCUGUGUGGUGGGGCCCAGCAGAGAACCUGGUGAAGGUUGCAUCAGAUCAAUCUUUUCACUUCCACACUUUGCAUCUGGAUCAAGCUCAGGAACAGAACACAUCUGUGGCUGGAUCAGCGCCACCAUCAAAGGGGUCAGCUGCUCACAACAGCAUCACAGUUUACAAAGUAUUGAUACGUCUGUCUGCACCGAAACCUCUCACACAUUAACAGCCACCACCACCGUCAGACCACACAGCGUUCGUUAUCUUUUCACAUUUGAGAAAAAACAACAGGCUCAGAGAGCUGAACUACUUUGCCAACCAUUCUAUCAAGUAAAUGGAGGGAAAGGGCCUGGAAUCCAGGACUCCUUUCUUUCUCCUCUGUCCAUCCUCUGUUCUCUGUGCCCAUGGAGGUCAGACUCCCCAAGACUCCAAAGGUACAGAACCCAUGGGUUGAUUCCCCCUGAAUUUAAUGCAAGUCCUCCUGACAAGCCCAGGCUAGCCCAGCACCAGUGGCAAGGUGGACAGUGCAGGAGCCCCCCGACAGCUGUAGCUAGGAGACAAGCUCUGCUCACUCCCUGGUCAUGAGACUCCUCCCCUCCACUGAUGGUGUGCCAAUUGGCAACCCAGAGGGGAUCCCACCAUAACAGUCACCUUUGCCCACAUGGGCCAGAGACUCCUUCUCCCACCUAGAUGCACCCAUGGCUCUAGCUGGGGGAUCUCCAGUUCUUUCAAGCGGCACUGCUGGGGGCUCGGGAGCCCCGGUAUCACCAAAAAAAUGGAUCAAAGGAGCACCUGGAGGGACUUCCCUGAUGGUCCACUGGCUAAAGCUCCACACUUCCACUGCAGAGGGCAUGGGUUCGAGGCCUGGUUGGAGGAACUAAGAUCCCUCAUGCCUAAAAUCAAGUAAAAACAAAACGGCACCCAGAGUCUCCACUUUUUAUGUUACUAGACUGGCCGGGUACAAGUACCUUUAUACACUUGACUUAGAACAGGUAUCCUAUUCAGCUUUGAUUUGUAACCCUUUUAACUUAUAAAGUAUGAAAAUCUUCCAAUGUCAAUGAACAUAUGCUUGAAUCCUAGUAAAUGCCUCCGCAUCAUUUUAUUGUGUGGUAACAAUAAAAUUUUAUUGUAACAUAAAGUCUUCUAUAAUCACACUUCAGUUUAAGAGUGUUUUUCAGCUCCCCACGUUUCUGUUUAUUUUUUCACUGAAAUUUUAAACCUGCUUUUGAUUACCAGUCAAAACCUGAAAAUUAUUGUAAGGGACAUAUGACCUGAAAAGGUAAAGACUUAGAAUUAAGUGAUUCAAAAUGAUCUUUCUGUUUCGUGGGGGCUAAAAUAUACCUACGCGUGGAACAGAAUUCAGAACUCCAUGGAAGAGCUGGUGUCCAGAGUUGAUGUCACACAGGCCGUGGCCCAAUAGGGGUCAUAGGACCGGAGCUGGAGAGAGGCUGGGCUUCUAAAGUGAGCUCUUCAACCUUGCAUCUUAAGUCCUCUAACAGGGAUGAUUCGAUCUCUCUUUCUCAAAUUACAGGUUUGAUAAAAUAUCCUGUUCCCUGCAGGGUUUUUUUGUUGUUAUUUAAAAAAAAAAUUUUUUUUUUCCGGUUGGGCUUCAUCCAGAUCUAGAGGAUUUAACUGUAGUGUGUGAGAGAUGUUUGACCUCCAGAUCAUGAUCGCCAUUGGGAGCGCCUUACUGAUCACAGCUUUCGUGCUCAUAGGUGUCAUCAUCAGUCUUUACUACAAAGUAGCCAACACAUUAAAUGCUGCAAAGACACCCAUUGCUACAACCAUUACCUGUAGUGAUCAAGAUAAGGUCACCGAGGCUGCAACCUUCACCCCGGAGUCUUACCCCAGCUUCCAGUGCUGUGAAGAAUGUAACUUGCCUGCCAAC